AGGACGAACGCUGGCGGCGUGCUUAACACAUGCAAGUCGAGCGGUAAGGCCUUUCGGGGUACACGAGCGGCGAACGGGUGAGUAACACGUGGGUGAUCUGCCCUGCACUCUGGGAUAAGCCUGGGAAACUGGGUCUAAUACCGGAUAUGACCUGCUCUCGCAUGGGGGUGGGUGGAAAGAUUUAUCGGUGCAGGAUGGGCCCGCGGCCUAUCAGCUUGUUGGUGGGGUAAUGGCCUACCAAGGCGACGACGGGUAGCCGACCUGAGAGGGUGACCGGCCACACUGGGACUGAGACACGGCCCAGACUCCUACGGGAGGCAGCAGUGGGGAAUAUUGCACAAUGGGCGAAAGCCUGAUGCAGCGACGCCGCGUGAGGAUGACGGCCUCGGUUGUAAACCUCUUCUAGCAGGACGAAGCGCAAGUAGACGGUACCUAGCAGAAGAAGACGAACCGGCCGUAAACUAACGUAGCCAACGCACGCCGCC
rnacentral:rRNA from 1 species